rnacentral:rRNA from 1 species
GUGCCAGCAGCCGCGGUAAUACGUAGGGUGCGAGCGUUAAUCGGAAUUACUGGGCGUAAAGCGUGCGCAGGCGGUUUAUCACGUCUCCUGUUAAAUCUCGAGGCUCAACCUCGAGCCAGCGGGAGAGAUGGACAAACUAGAGAUCGGAAGAGGCAAACGGAAUUGCUGGUGUAGGGGUUAAAUCCAUUAAUAUCAGCAAGAACACCAAAUGCGAAGGCAGUUUGCUAGGACGAAUCUGACACUCAGUGGACGAAAGCGUGGGGAGCGAAUGGGAUUAGAUACCCCAGUAGUCCACGCCGUA